rnacentral:lncRNA from 1 species
GUGCUUUUUUCUUCUAUGUGUCAUUUUUUUUGGUUUAUGUAAUAAAAGCCAAAUAUAACUUUCCCUUUUGUUUUUAAUUUUUUUUGUUAAUUUUUAUUUUUAGACCACAGCAGGGAAGAGAAAGUGAAUGGGUAAAGACAGAGAAGUGGAGAAGAAAGUAAGCUUAAUUCAGAGGCUGACUGAUAUUUGGAGAUUGGACUUUUCCUGCAGCUGAAAAACAGAGUAGCUACAAAUACACACCUUGUGUCCAAGGUAACAGAAAGGAAGCACCACAUGAAAAGGAGCAGGCAGGGAGAAGACUUGGGAGCACAGAGUCAGGAAAAUAGUUCUGUGUAGGGAGUCUGCAAUAUGACAGAUAGUCCCACAUGGGUUUCUUUUUUUCCAGAUCAGCACAGCAAAUUGGACAGCAGCGAAAAAAAACCAGUUAUCAUUUACCAUGUUUGGCAGAUGCAAGAAUGCUCUGCAGGAUGUGCAUGAGAGCCCAGCGUAUCAAGCCAAGCUCAGAGCUUGUGGCAUCUUUACCCAUCUAUCUGUUCCUAGGAACAAUGAAGGAGCAGAACUUCCAUUCUGUGGUAUGACAUUAAUGUCUUCUGGCCUCAUCUGACUCCUUCCGACUAUCCAUUAUCUUCUUAGCACCACAAUUCCUAUUUCAGUCGUUUUCCCUGCAUUUUUUCUCUUUCCAUGCCCCUUGUCAGCCAUUCUCACAGGCCACUGAUGAUGUUUCUGUCACAGGUUUCUUCACAGAACCACUCUCUGAUCCAGACUCUUGAGAUGCCCAGGCCAUCUCCUGUACCAGGCCACAGUCCUCACAUCUCCACCACACAUCCAUCCUGCCUAGGCAACACUGCUGGCUCAGUGCACUCCUCCCUGCCAUCUCCUCCUGCCUGACCCUUGCCCAGUCCAUUCUCCAGCUGCUUCUCCUCCUCAAAUGCACCAGAGUGAGUCCACAGACACGACUGAGUCACACGUGCUCUUUACACCAGCUGCUCACACGUGGAAAGUCAGGCACAUGCAGGACAGUUUUCAGCCUUGGGUAUUGAAGCUGCAGUGUGGUAACAGUCACUGCCCAGGGGCAGAGAGUGACUCUGACUCAGAGUGUGGCUGAGUUUUAGGGCCUAGGGA